rnacentral:rRNA from 1 species
ACUAAAGUUGUUGCAGUUAAAAAGCUCGUAGUUGGAUUUCAUGCGGGGUUCACGGUGUGUGGGUGGAGAGGGUGUGUUUUACGCGCGCCUUCUUCUGCCUGCCACUGUUUGCACUCUGCAGUUUUAAUAUUCCCUGGUGGCGCCUUUGGCGCGUGCCCUUGAUUGGGUGUGUGUCAAGUCACGUAGUGGUGGGGCGCUGUUGGGGGCUUUACUUUGAAAAAAUUAGAGUGUUCAAAGCAGGCAGUCAUUUGAUUUGCUUGAAUAGAUUAGCAUGGAACAACGGAAGAGGACUUUUGGGCCUGUACUGUUGGCGUGUGGUGCGGGGGUGUGGAGUGAGAAACCGCAAGGUUUUCUUGUUCCUCCCUCACCACAUCGGGUCUGAAGUAAUGAUUAAUAGGGACGGUUGGGGGCACUGGUAUUUCGUUGUCAGAGGUGAAAUUCUUGGAUUUACGAAAGACCGCCGACUGCGAAAGCAUUUGCCAAGGACGCUUUCAUUGAUCAAGAACGAAAGUUAGGGGAUCGAAGACGAUUAGAUACCGUCGUAGUCUUAACCAUAAACGAUGCCGGCCAGGGCUCGGUGGGCAGCACAAAUGUUUCAAAGCAUGGUGGCGCCAUCGGGACCUUUAGGGAAACCAAAGCGUUUGGGUUCCGGGGGGAGUAUGAUCGCAAGAUUGAAACUUAAAGGAAUUGACGGAAGGGCACCACCAGGAGUGGAGCCUGCGGCUUAAUUUGACUCAACACGGGGAAACUCACCAGGUCCAGACAUGGGAAGGAUUGACAGAUUGACAGCUCUUUCUUGAUUCCAAGGGAGGUGGUGCAUGGCCGUCCAGCUUUUGUUGUGAAAUCUCUGUUUGAUUACGGUAAACGGCGAGACCUUGACUUGCUGAUUGGUGUGCGCCUGCGUCAGCAGGCGUUGGAGAUUACGCGCAAGCGUGUCUUUUGAUACACCACUCAGAGGGACACUCGGCGUUGCUAUUGAGCGUAAGCCGAAGGAAGUUUGAGGCGAUAACAGGUCUGUGAUGCCCUUAGAUGUUCUGGGCUGCACGCGCGCUACACUGACGGGGGCAGCGAGUAUGCUUUGGGUGUUUGUGGUGGGGAAAGUCUUGUGCUUUUCUAUGACAGACAUCUAUUCCUGCGCUGGAAGGCGUGGGGACUCUUGUGAAAACCCGUCGUGCUGGGGAUAGAUGCUUGCAAUUAUUCAUCUUGAACGAGGAAUUCCUAGUAAGCGCAAUUCAACAGAUUGCGUUGAUUACGUCCCUGCCCUUUGUACACACCGCCCGUCGCUACUACCGAUUGAAUGGUUUAGUGAGGCCUCGGGAUUGGCGCGUGGGCGCUGGCAACAGCUGCCCAUGUGUUUCUUUGCUGAGAACCUGGUCAAACUUGAUCAUUUAGAGGAAGUAAAAGUCGUAACAAGGUUUCCGUAGGUGAACCUGCGGAAGG